rnacentral:lncRNA from 1 species
CAUAGCUAGGCUUCCUGUAACUCCCCUCUUCUUGUUCCUCAGACCUUCCAUAGCUAGGCUUCCUGUAACUCCCUUCCUCCUGAUCCUCUGAUCUUCCAUAGCUAGGCUUAAUGUAACUCUCCACCUGUUCCUCAGACCCUCCAUAACUUGGUUUCCUGUAACUCCCUUCCUCCUGAUCCUCAGAUCUUCCAUAGCUAGGCUUCCUGUAACUCCCUUCCUCUUGAUCCUCAGAUCUUCCAUAGCUAGGCUUCCUGUAACCUUCCUCUUGAUCCUCAGAUCUUCCAUAACUAGGCUUUAUGUAACUUUCAACCUGUUCCUCAGAUCUUCCAUAGCUAGGCUUCCUGUAACUUCCUUCCUCUUGUUCCUCGGACCUUCCAUAGCUAGGUUUCCUGUAACCUUCCUCUUGUUCCUCGGACCUUCCAUAGCUAGGCUUUUUGUAACCUUCCUCUUGCUCCUCAGACCUACCAUAGCUAGGCUUACGCUCAUACUCAGACUCCGAUCUGCCACCAUAUCCAGAUCCAAGCCCCGAUUCAGGUCUCCUACCAUACUCAACCUCAGUUCUUCCACCACCAGAUCCAUACUCCGAUUCAGUCUCCGUCCUACCACCAUAACCAGAUCCAUAACUCUGCUCAGGUCUCCGACCAUACUCCGUCUCAGUUUCACCACCAUAUCCAGAUUCAGGCCUCCUACCAUACUCACUCUCCGUCUGACCACCAUAACCAGAUCCAGAUCCAUAACCAGGAUUCGGCCUCUCACCUUGAACAUGACCGCCACCACCUGAAUCGGGUCGAAAUGCGGGUCGUGGCUUGGGUCGAGAAUAGCUACUGUAC